rnacentral:rRNA from 1 species
AGAGUUUGAUCAUGGCUCAGGAUGAACGCUGGCGGCGUGCCUAACACAUGCAAGUCGAACGAAGCACCUAACUUUGAUUCCUUCGGGUUGAAGAGUUUUGUGACUGAGUGGCGGACGGGUGAGUAACGCGUGGGUAACCUGCCUCAUACAGGGGGAUAACAGUUAGAAAUGACUGCUAAUACCGCAUAAGCGCACAGCAUCGCAUGGUGCAGUGUGAAAAACUCCGGUGGUAUGAGAUGGACCCGCGUCUGAUUAGCUAGUUGGCGAGGUAACGGCUCACCAAGGCGACGAUCAGUAGCCGGCCUGAGAGGGUGAACGGCCACAUUGGGACUGAGACACGGCCCAAACUCCUACGGGAGGCAGCAGUGGGGAAUAUUGCACAAUGGGGGAAACCCUGAUGCAGCGACGCCGCGUGAGCGAAGAAGUAUUUCGGUAUGUAAAGCUCUAUCAACAGGGAAGAAAAUGACGGUACCUGACUAAGAAGCCCCGGCUAACUACGUGCCAGCAGCCGCGGUAAUACGUAGGGGGCAAGCGUUAUCCGGAUUUACUGGGUGUAAAGGGAGCGUAGACGGUAUGGCAAGUCAGAAGUGAAAGCCCGGGGCUCAACCGCGGGACUGCUUUUGAAACUGUCAAACUAGAGUGCCGGAGAGGUAAGCGGAAUUCCUAGUGUAGCGGUGAAAUGCGUAGAUAUUAGGAGGAACACCAGUGGCGAAGGCGGCUUACUGGACGGUAACUGACGUUGAGGCUCGAAAGCGUGGGGAGCAAACAGGAUUAGAUACCCUGGUAGUCCACGCCGUAAACGAUGACUACUAGGUGUCGGGCAGCAAAGCUGUUCGGUGCCGCAGCAAACGCAAUAAGUAGUCCACCUGGGGAGUACGUUCGCAAGAAUGAAACUCAAAGGAAUUGACGGGGACCCGCACAAGCGGUGGAGCAUGUGGUUUAAUUCGAAGCAACGCGAAGAACCUUACCAAUUCUUGACAUCCCUCUGACUGUUCCGUAAUGGGAACUUCUCUUCGGAGCAGAGGUGACAGGUGGUGCAUGGUUGUCGUCAGCUCGUGUCGUGAGAUGUUGGGUUAAGUCCCGCAACGAGCGCAACCCUUAUCCUUAGUAGCCAUCAUUUAGUUGGGCACUCUAGGGAGACUGCCGGGGGUAACCCGGAGGAAGGCGGGGAUGACGUCAAAUCAUCAUGCCCCUUAUGAAUUGGGCUACACACGUGCUACAAUGGCGUAAACAAAGGGAAGCGAAACCGCGAGGUCAAGCAAAUCCCAAAAAUAACGUCUCAGUUCGGAUUGUAGUCUGCAACUCGACUACAUGAAGCUGGAAUCGCUAGUAAUCGCAGAUCAGAAUGCUGCGGUGAAUACGUUCCCGGGUCUUGUACACACCGCCCGUCACACCAUGGGAGCCGGAAAUGCCCGAAGUCAGUGACCUAACCGUAAGGAAGGAGCUGCCGAAGGUGGAGCCGGUAACUGGGGUGAAGUCGUAACAAGGUAGCCGUAUCGGAAGGUGCGGCUGGAACACCUCCUU